rnacentral:rRNA from 1 species
AGAGUUUGAUCAUGGCUCAGAUUGAACGCUGGCGGCAUGCCUAACACAUGCAAGUCGAACGGCAGCAUGAUAUGUAGCAAUACAUAUUGAUGGCGAGUGGCGGACGGGUGAGUAAUACGUAGGAAUCUGCCUAAUGGUUUGGGAUAACUUGGGGAAACUCGAGCUAAUACCAAAUAAGCUCUACGGAGGAAAGGAUGGGACUUGAAAGAGCCAUUCACCAUGAGAUGAGCCUACGUCGGAUUAGCUAGUUGGUGGGGUAAAGGCCUACCAAGGCGAUGAUCCGUAGCUGGUCUGAGAGGAUGGACAGCCACACUGGGACUGAGACACGGCCCAGACUCCUACGGGAGGCAGCAGUGGGGAAUAUUGGACAAUGGGGGCAACCCUGAUCCAGCGAUGCCGCGUGUGCGAAGAAGGCCUGCGGGUUGUAAAGCACUUUGGUUGGGGAAGAAAUACUUGUGUUUAAGAGAUGCAAGGGAUGACGUUACCCAAAGAACAAGCACCGGCUAACUCUGUGCCAGCAGCCGCGGUAAUACAGAGGGUGCGAGCGUUAAUCGGAAUUACUGGGCGUAAAGGGCGCGUAGGCGGCGAGUUAAGUUAGAUGUGAAAUCCCUGGGCUUAACCUAGGACUUGCAUUUAAGACUGACUUGCUAGAGUAAUGUAGAGGGAAGUGGAAUUUCCGGUGUAGCGGUGAAAUGCGUAGAUAUCGGAAAGAACAUCAGUGGCGAAGGCGGCUUCCUGGACAUAUACUGACGCUGAGGCGCGAAAGCAUGGGUAGCAAACAGGAUUAGAUACCCUAGUAGUCC